AGCGAACGCUGGCGGCAGGCUUAACACAUGCAAGUCGAACGCCCGGGCAACCGGGAGUGGCAGACGGGUGAGUAACGCGUGGGAACAUGCCCUUUGGUUCGGAAUAACUCAGGGAAACUUGAGCUAAUACCGGAUAAGCCCUUAUGGGGAAAGAUUUAUCGCCGAAGGAUUGGCCCGCGUCCGAUUAGCUAGUUGGUGAGGUAAUGGCUCACCAAGGCGACGAUCGGUAGCUGGUCUGAGAGGAUGAUCAGCCACACUGGGACUGAGACACGGCCCAGACUCCUACGGGAGGCAGCAGUGGGGAAUAUUGGACAAUGGGCGCAAGCCUGAUCCAGCCAUGCCGCGUGAGUGAUGAAGGCCUUAGGGUUGUAAAGCUCUUUCGGCGGGGACGAUAAUGACGGUACCCGCAGAAGAAGCCCCGGCUAACUUCGUGCCAGCCGCCGCUGUAACAC
rnacentral:rRNA from 1 species